AAAUUAAAAUCAGAUUAGGUCUAAUCUAUUUGUAUCAAAUAUAGGUGCAAAUUUGUAGUUUUAUGAGAAAAGAUUGGGGGCAUUUAGAAAACUUAAAAAAUAAAAACAAAAUUAUAGCAAAGCUUAUAGAGAAUAAAUUCCUUGUUCAUACACCCUAGCUUCGCCAAAAGAGCUGCAGAUUUACGAGAGCAAAGCAAAUAGUUUCCUUAACUAGGUAGAGAUUAUAAAGGCAAAGAAAAGAGAUAAUUAUGGGACGUGGAAAGAUACCGAUCAAGAGGAUUGAGAACCAGACGACUAGGCAAGUUACGUUUUCGAAGCGAUAAGCGCUGGGUUAUUGAAGAAGACCCAUGAGUUGUCUGUGCUUUGAGAUGCUCAGAUUGGGCUCAUCAUCUUCUCCACUACCGGCAAGAUGUGCCAGUAUUGCACUGAGGGUUACAGAACAUGAACUAGCUGGGGUUUCAAUUUCAAGGCUACUUUUUCAAGCUAAAAAUGGAGCAAAUCAUAGAAAGGUGUCAGAAGGUCACUGGAACUUGCAUUCCUGAGCAUGACAAUCGGGAACAUUUGUACAAUGAAUUGGCAGUGUUGAGGAAAGAAACUCGUCGCCUUCAGCUACGCAUGCGACGCUACACUGGUGAAGACAUGAGUUCUUAUACCAUUCGAAGAGCUCGAUCAACUUGAACACGAACUCGAACGCUCUGUCAUCAAGGUCCGAGAGCUAAAGCAAAAAUGGAAGCAAGACAGCCACAUAAUGCAACGGCAAGGACACAUUAAGGCGUAAACAGCGAACUCCACACGUCACCCUGGCAUUCGCCGGUACCAUACUUGUUCGGCGGGUUAGCUGCCAUGUUGGGUCUUAGAGCGUUUGCGCUUCUCGUCCUUGCAUGUUCUUAUCGGGAACCAUUGGGUUACAACGAGAACGACGGUGAAGGGGGAACGGAGAGAGACAUAGAAGCCGGAGAAGGUAAAGGUUACUUUCUUACCCCAUUAUAAAUUUAUAACUAAAUAAUACAAUACAUUAACUAUUUUUUUUCUUAAGUUCUAUUCUUGCAUAUGGGUUUUUUUUUCCUUUUCUGAUUCAAGCUAAAGUUAAGACCGGAAGUGUCCUUUUUUGACACGCUUCAAGGCGUGUCCGGUACGUAUCCGGCCGUGUCGGCGGCGUGUCCGUGUCGGACACCAGUACGACACUGGUACGAGGGGAUUUUCCCCGUGUCGGUGCUUCCUAGAUUGCAAAGGUAUUUUACAGAGGAUCAUUGGUUCAAAACUUGUACCUGCAAAGCUUGGUGCAUAUAUCUGCAACAUUUGUUGCAGCCAUUGUCAACCUUGCUCCAGCCUUUACUUUUAUUUUGGCCAUUUGUUUCAAGUACACUUCUUAACCCUUGGUUGAUUUUGAUUUUUUGUGUCCGUUGGAUACUUCAAUGGGUGUGGUAUUGGUUCCUGGUGUUUAUGUUGGAUUUUAUCUCUAGUUUUUGUUUUGACUCAGUUGAGAGUUCUAGUUUUUACAUGUAUUGAAACAAAGUUAAUUAUGAUAACAAGAUGGAGAAACUGGCAAUAAGAACAAAUGCAGGGAAAGCCAAAGUGUGUGGGACAUUAAUAGGAAUAGGUGGAGCAACGGUAUUCACAUUUUACAAAGGUAUAGACAUAAACAUCUGGUCAACAAAUGUAAACCUUUUAAAGCAUCAUCAUCAUCAACAAGGAGGUCCUUGACCUUCAUAUCAUGGCACUGGUCACUUCAUUAUCGGUGUUUUUUUCAGUCUUUUGAGUUGCGUUUCUUUCUCUUUUGUUGUUGAUCAAUCAGGUAAAACCGGAGUUCUUUUCCUGUUCCUAUUCCAUCAAUUUCAUUCUACUUACAUGGUCUUUUUUUGUACUUAACUUUUGAACUUUGUUAGGCUAAAAUGAGCGCGGGUUCCCUUACUUGUAUUUAAGCACUGCUUUGAUGUGUUUGAUGGGAUCAAUACAAGGAGCUUUGUAUGCAGUUUGUACUGUGAGGGAUUGGAAUCAAUGGAAGCUUGGGUGGAAUGUUAGGCUUUUAGCUGUUGCUUUUGUGGGAAUUAUGGGAUCUGCUUUGUUCGUGUUCUUGGUAUCAUGGGCUGUUAGGUUGAAGGGACCAUUGUAUGCAGCUAUAUUCAAUCCAUUGGGGCUUGUGCUUCUUGCUAUUGUGGGAUCCUUGUUACUCGAUGAAAAGCUGCAUUUAGGAAGGAUGGAGAAACUGGCAAUAAGAACAAAUGCAGGGAAAGCCAAAGUGUGUGGGACAUUAAUAGGAAUAGGUGGAGCAACGGUAUUCACAUUUUACAAAGGUGAAGAACAAGAGCGUGAAGGAACUGAAACUCCAUUCAUCCAUGUUCACGUCGUAUUCCCAAGCUGUACUUAAAGCGUUCUUGUUCUCAUCAUGACCACCCGCCACAAUAAUGCGCCCUUCAAACCCCCCAGGUGCAAAGAACGAUCGAGUUUCCGGCAUCUGCUUCCCUUGUUUCCACUGCUGAGUUGUGAAGUCGUAUAUGAAGACGUCCCGCACUGGGUCAUAACUUGUGGUCACCACUAGCUUUCCUUCAUGCUCUUGUUCUUCAUCAACUGUUGGUACUGGUACUAACUGUGUUUUUUGCUUCAUCUCUGUGGCUUUGCCCCAUAACACCACAUGUACUACACAUACUAUCAUUAAUCCCCCUAUGAUACUGUUGAUUUCCCAGGAAAAAAGAGAAAGAAUUAGAAACUAAAA